CCUACGGGAGGCAGCAGUGAGGAAUAUUGGUCAAUGGCCGCAGGGCUGAACCAGCCAAGUCGCGUGAGGGAUGACGGUCCUAUGGAUUGUAAACCUCUUUUGUCAGGGAGCAAAGCGCGCCACGUGUGGCGCUUUGCGAGUACCUGAAGAAACAGCAUCGGCUAACUCCGUGCCAGCAGCCGCGGUAAUACGGAGGAUGCGAGCGGUAUCCGGUUUUAUUGGGUUUAAAGGGUGCGCAGGCGGAAUGUAAAGUCAGCGGUAAAAUUUCGGGGCUCAACCCCGUCGUGCCGUUGAAACUGGCGUUCUUGAGUGAGCGAGAAGUAUGCGGAAUGCGUGGUGUAGCGGUGAAAUGCAUAGAUAUCACGCAGAACUCCGAUUGCGAAGGCAGCAUACCGGCGCUCAACUGACGCUCAUGCACGAAAGCGUGGGUAUCGAACAGGAUUAGAUACCCUUGUAGUC
rnacentral:rRNA from 1 species